rnacentral:rRNA from 1 species
UACGUAGGGUGCAAGCGUUGUCCGGAAUUAUUGGGCGUAAAGAGCUCGUAGGCGGUCUGUCGCGUCUGCUGUGAAAACUCGGGGCUUAACCCCGGGCCUGCAGUGGGUACGGGCAGACUAGAGUGCGGUAUGGGAGACUGGAAUUCCUGGUGUAGCGGUGAAAUGCGCAGAUAUCAGGAGGAACACCGGUGGCGAAGGCGGGUCUCUGGGCCGUAACUGACGCUGAGGAGCGAAAGCGUGGGGAGCAAACAGG